GUUCCUGUGGUUGAAUUAGACAACGGCGGCUUUUCAGGUCGCAGGUCUUGGAGAAAAGCCAAGCAGGAAUU
rnacentral:tRNA from 1 species